rnacentral:rRNA from 1 species
CACGUAGGGCGCAAGCGUUGUCCGGAAUUAUUGGGCGUAAAGAGCUCGUAGGCGGUCUGCCACGUCCGCUGUGAAAACCUAGGGCUUAACCCUGGGCUUGCAGUAGAUACGGGCAGACUAGAGGUAGGUAGGGGAGAAUGGAAUUCCCGGUGUAGCGGUGAAAUGCGCAGAUAUCGGGAGGAACACCAGUGGCGAAGGCGACUCACUGGACACGUAUUGACGCUGAGGUGCGAAAGCGUGGGGAGCAAACAGG